UACGUAGGGGGCAAGCGUUGUCCGGAUUCAUUGGGCGUAAAGAGCGUGUAGGCGGCCAGGUAGGUCGGUUGUGAAAAACUGGAGGCUCAACCUUCAGAGGUCGACCGAAAACCAUCUGGCUAGAGUCCGGGAGAGGAGAGUGGGAAUUCCUGGUGUAGCGGUGAAAAUGCGCAGAUAUCAGGAGGAACACCGGUGGCGAAAGGGCGGGGGACUCUGGGGCCCGAUACUGACGCUGAGGCACGAAAAGCGUGGGGGGAGCAAAACAGG
rnacentral:rRNA from 1 species